GAGAAAAUGGUGGACUUGUACUAAAUACAAGGACGAAUAUCGAGAAAGAACUGUUUGUUGUCCCCAUUACACAGGAUCAUAUUGUAAUAUAGCCUAUUGCAGUCGUAUACAAUUAAAUAGACAACAUUCCUGGUCAUGCAAGAAGUACUACGAGCAUGACAGUGUCACACACAGAAAUUUUUAUGUUGAACGGAUCAGUGGUGGAACAUGUGUAAAACCAAACAUCUGUCAAUGCUGCAAUGAUGGUUUUUAUGCUGAUCAUAGUGAUGGAUACU